rnacentral:rRNA from 1 species
UAGGGAAUCUUCCACAAUGGACGCAAGUCUGAUGGAGCAACGCCGCGUGAGUGAAGAAGGUUUUCGGAUCGUAAAGCUCUGUUGUUGGUGAAGAAGGAUAGAGGCAGUAACUGGUCUUUAUUUGACGGUAAUCAACCAGAAAGUCACGGCUAACUACGUGCCAGCAGCCGCGGUAAUACGUAGGUGGCAAGCGUUGUCCGGAUUUAUUGGGCGUAAAGCGAGCGCAGGCGGAAUGAUAAGUCUGAUGUGAAAGCCCACGGCUCAACCGUGGAACUGCAUCGGAAACUGUCAUUCUUGAGUGCAGAAGAGGAGAGUGGAAUUCCAUGUGUAGCGGUGGAAUGCGUAGAUAUAUGGAAGAACACCAGUGGCGAAGGCGGCUCUCUGGUCGGCAACUGACGCUGAGGCUCGAAAGAAUGGGUAGCGAACAGG